rnacentral:lncRNA from 7 species
GCCGGGGCAGGAAGUGCUUGCCGGCGGCGGAGAGCAGUUCCGGGGCAGCGCGGCAUGGCGGCGCGAGGCCGGUGAGCGGGGCCGGGAGGAGCGGGCUGUGUCCUGGGCACGGGCUCGGGGCUCGGGGCUCGGGGCGGGGGCAUGGAGGGGCUCUCGGGGGAGGAGCUCGUGGUGCUGCCGGCACGCACGCAGAGGCGAGGCGUGCGGUGCGGUGCGGUGCGGUGCGAGCGAGUGGUGCUUGUAGGAGCUGAGCUGGAUGCUGUGGCAGGCAGCUCCCAAUGAAUAUCUUGGCCCCCACAGCCACUGCGGGCUGUGCUCUGCUGGCUUGGCACCGGGAGGACAGCCCCGAUGAGUGGGCACGGACGCAGCCACGGUUGGCAAGAAGGACAAGCGGGUGCUGUCCUAGCAGUGUCUUCCCACAAGGAUCAAGCUUCCUGCGUAUGGCCGUAGCACCCCUGAUGCUCUCGGCAGGCACGGCAGCCUGUGGCCCGCAUCAGAGUGUCGGGGAGCAGAGUGUGAGUGGCUGCGCAAUGGAGUUGGCACUCAGGCGAGCAACACGUGACUGUGCCACAAACUUCCCGUGUGGCCAUUGCAAGGUAGGCAUGCCUUACUGUAAGCGUGCGCUGAGGCAGUGUUGGUUAAGCACAGCUCAUUGCCUGUCUCCAACAGUGCUGCUCUGCUGCUUUAUUGCUCGGUUGGC